ACACUUACCCAGCAGGGGAGAUACCCUGAUCACCAAGGUGGUUUUCCCUGGGCAAGACUCAUCCAUUGCACUCCAGAUGUGACCACUAUGAUUUUUCCACAUGUGAGGAACUUGACUGCAUAAUUCAUAGUUAUUUUUAAUUUAAAAG
ensembl:snRNA U1 U1 spliceosomal RNA